rnacentral:rRNA from 1 species
UACGUAGGGGGCAAGCGUUGUCCGGACUUACUGGGCGUAAAGGGUGCGUAGGCGGUCUUGUGCGUCGGUGCUGAAAGCGCCCGGCUUAACCGGGCGAGGCGUGCCGAUACGAUAAGACUGGAGGGGCAGCGAGGGUGGCGGAACUCCUGGUGUAGUGGUGAAAUGCGCAGAUAUCAGGAGGAACACCGAUGGCGAAGGCAGGUCUCUGGGCCACUACUGACGCUGAGAAGCGAAAGCAUGGGGAGCGAACAGG